AUGUUGUCUAUAUAUUCCUGGUGGAACAAUGAAAAAGAACAAGAAGGAUGCAGACGUUUUCUUUGCAGAGGUAGACUUAAGGGGCACAUAUAUAGAGACUGUAGAAGUAAUGGACAUACAUGCUUCUCAGUGUCAUAAAGGCCCCUUCUGUGAAUUUGUGUGAAUGGGUUAUACAGGUAUCUAAAGGUCUGCAUGGAGAAAUAGUUUUUAAAAAAACCAACAAGUCAAAGAGAGGAGUGGCGGCUGAGAAGGUAGCCUGUGAAAGCUUACCAAGGGCUCUAAGACUAGCAAGGCUAUUGAAUCUGCAAGAACCAAUACACUAAGGACACCAACAGUCUGCUGAAGCUCUACCGGGCCACUAGCACACAUUAGCAUCCGCAAAGAACCGCAUCCAACAGCUAUCCAGAUGCUCCUGGUGUGUCAGUGUGACCCCCUGCUUCCGAGUAGGCAGGUGGGUUUGGCCUCCCAACUGUUGCACCAGCUAGGCAAGCACAAGUCAGCGUGCAAGUAUUUGAGUAAACUAUGUGAAUGAAUAAAGGAAUGUGUUGAGUAAAUAGCUGCUAUUAAUAAUAAUCAAUUAUAUUAUUAAGAUCAGCUUAAUGAAUAAAAGGUGUUCUAACAAACAUUGUUUGUGAUCUGUAUCUCCCUCCUGUUUGAUCUCCUAGGAGAAAAAAGGAAAUUUACAACACCAGAAUUGAAAAAUUAGGUUCAGAAAAAAAUCUGAAGCUCUGUUUUUAGACAGAUGUUUACUUUGCCAGAAUCACACCAAGUGCUACAGAAAACUUUUCUUUUCGCACACUUCCUUAUGCUUUAGAAGAUCAGUUGGAUGGCAAAAAGGGUCCUUACAGAAGGCUGUCCUAACACAGCACUCUGCCAGAACGCUACAUGCAGCAUCGAGCUUUAUGAACAGACAAGGUACUGGCAAGCACGUCUGCUCUUUGGAUCCAAUGCAGAGACCUCUCCAACUACGUGUUCUGACUGAGGGACCUGUGAUCUUCCUCUGAACGUAGACAAGAACAAGAAAAAGAGCAAGAGGCCUCUUAUAUUACUGACGAAAUGCAGGUGGCCUUCAAAAUGGAUAUGACCACUGAGGUACUUUGUCGCAAUGCUACAAAAUUGUAGAACCUUGGUGUCAAGGCAAAUGGAGCCAGUAUUGAGAAACUUCAUCGGAAAAGAAAUAAAGAUUUUCCUACCUGGACAUUCUUGUACAGGAUCCUGCAAGACAGCAGCAGCGGGAUCACUACAGGCUUCGGCAAGAUACCGGUGUACAUCCCUGCUCCGCAGGAGCUCAGUUCCAGAACCAUCCGUGUAGACAAUGAAGAACCUACACAGCCAG